GUUUCCCUCAAUUUAAAAAAAAUGCACCGAAAGGAACGAUGUCGUUUAUCUGAAUUUCCGCAUAUAGGAGCCAACGCAAUAGGCUCCAUACUCCAUAGUAACUGCAUAACCGAAACAUUUAUUCUCUUGCUCCCUCACUCCGUCUCUCUGCGUCUCCAUGUGCUCCAUUUUCAUAUAUCAUCACCACACAAUCUUUAGGUUUUACUUUAGAUCUGAAUUCAAACGGGAAUUCUUUUCGCUUGCAUACUCUCGCAGUUGUGUAUUCAAAUCGACAUUAUAAAUAGCCAAUGGGAGUAGUUAUUGAGAGCUCCGUUUGGGAACCGAAUCCCUCCAUAUACAUCUUCCUCUUCGUUUGUUGUUGCUUCUCGAUCUUUCUUUUCCCUUACGCCUCUAACCACCACAGAACCUCCACAAUUUUCGAUCAUGGAAUCUCUUCCUCCUUUCUCCGUUUCCAACGCAACUUCCUCUUCGUUUAUUCUCUCGCUUCAGUGAUGGAAGGUCUGUGGUCAGUGUUCGGGGAGUAUGAGUUAGCUUCGUAUGGACUCAGCCGAAAACAGAUGAUCGAGUCUCUGUACUAUGGAUACACAACGGCUCUCUUCGCUGCUCCUUUCCUUGGCGUGCUUUCAGAUUUGAUAGGUCACAAGAAAGUCUCCCUAAUCUUUUGCAUCCUACACCUGUUUGCUGGCAUAUGGAAGAGGUUUUCAGAGCAACCAAGCAUUUUUAUGACUAGCAUAUAUCUCUCUCUGGCCAGUACUAUAUUUUUAUUCAGUUUUGAGACUUGGAUGGUCACUCAACAUGAAAAGCAAGGGCACAGGCAAGAUUCACUUAAUGACACAUUUUGGUUAAUGACUUUCUUUGAGUCUGCAUGGUUAAUUGCCAGCCAAAUGUUUGCAAAUUGGCUUAUUGGUAAUAGUACAGACAAAAACAUUGCUCCUUCCUCUACUAUUAUCAUCCUGGCAACCAUAUGCUUUACUUUUGUCACCAGAGGAUGGACAGAAACCCCAGGAGCAGGGACUUUUAAAGAGUAUAGUAGGUCCUUCUAUGCAUAUAUUUUUGGUGAUAAGAGGAUAUGGCUGUUAACCUGGGCACAAAUGUGCCUUCACUUUUCAAUUGGAAUUUUUUGGAUCCUCUGGGCGCCUACUGUGGUGGCUGAUGGGCGAGAGGUGCAAUUAGGAUUGAUAUAUCCUUCUUUUUUGGCAUCAAGGAUGAUAGGAAGCACCAUAUUUCCUUGUCUUACAAGUGGUCCAUCGUCACUUAGAACUGAGGACUGCCUAGUAUAUGCAUACGUUGUAUUGGCUCUUCUCCUGUCUUUUGUGGCUUAUGACUAUCAGGAAAUUGGAUUUCUGAUGACACUAUUUAGCAUGUUUCAUGCUUGUGUCGGGUUCAUUUUACCGUCACUUGCCAGAUUGAGGACCAUGUAUGUGCCUAAUGAAUUGCGUGGAGGAAUGAUGGGCCUUUCUAUUGCUCCUGCAAAUGCAGCAAUUCUUCUUUCUGUGGUACAGGGUGGUUAUUAUCGGAAUGUUGGAAAUUCAGCAUUAAUGGCAUUUGGUGUGCUUGGUUUAUUGCUAGCAGCUGUUUGCAUGCAUGCCCUGAAGCAAUUGGGAAAGCAACCGUAUCACAAUUGGCAUAAACAGUGAAUGGAUAUCCCUUUGGCAGGCUUUGUUUAGUGGUGGCUGUCUCUCUCUCCUGUUGACAGAAAUGAGUAGUCAGGAGAUCAAACUUCGAUGAGGCAAAUGCAGACGAAGAGCAAUAAAUUUCUGAAGUCUUACACACUUUGCUGCUUGGGUUUGCUAAUGGAAUCUAGUCAACAACCGCACAUGCUUUCGAAGGUGGUAUCUGAAUUUUUAUGUGCUUACGCAUGCCAGUUUUGUCCAGAAAUGCAUCUAAAGACGAGGAGGUGAAAACUAAUUCUUGUUUUAUUAAUGUGAUCACUGUAUGGUAAUUGACGUGUUUUAGCUCUAGCUUAUUAGUUAAUACUUAAUACUUAUUCUAAAUUAUAAAACAUAUCACGCGACUAACCCCAACAUGUUAUGAAGUUUAUGACAAAAAAAAAGAAGUUAUUUUUCUAAAGUUACAAUGAAAACAUUCCAAACUGUGGCCUGUCGUGAUGUAGCCACGAACGGUAGGUAGAAUGAUACAAUUCAGCUUGUAGCUUAACUUUUUAAUCGUUUGUAAUUUUUUUUCCAAAGAAGAAAGUAUCUUUUAACUUUAAAUAUAAUUAUUAGUAAAAUUUUUCACUUAAUUAUUUUUUUUUUAUCAAGGAUAGAAAGACUCGA